AACGAACGCUGGCGGCAGGCUUAACACAUGCAAGUCGAGCGCCCCGCAAGGGGAGCGGCAGACGAGUGAGUAACGCGUGGGAACGUACCCUUUGCUACGGAAUAGCUCCGGGAAACUGGAAUUAAUACCGUAUGUGCCCUACGGGGGAAAGAUUUAUCGGCAAAGGAUCGGCCCGCGUUGGAUUAGCUAGUUGGUGGGGUAAUGGCCUACCAAGGCGACGAUCCAUAGCUGGUCUGAGAGGAUGAUCAGCCACAUUGGGACUGAGACACGGCCCAAACUCCUACGGGAGGCAGCAGUGGGGAAUAUUGGACAAUGGGCGCAAGCCUGAUCCAGCCAUGCCGCGUGAGUGAUGAAGGCCUUAGGGUUGUAAAGCUCUUUCACCGGAGAAGAUAAUGACGGUAUCCGGAGAAGAAGCCCCGGCUAACUCUGUGCCAGCCGCCGCCGUAACAC
rnacentral:rRNA from 1 species